AUGAACGCUGGCGGCGUGCCUAAUACAUGCAAGUCGAGCGAACAGACGAGGAGCUUGCUCCUUUGACGUUAGCGGCGGACGGGUGAGUAACACGUGGGUAACCUACCUAUAAGACUGGGAUAACUUCGGGAAACCGGAGCUAAUACCGGAUAAUAUUUCGAACCGCAUGGUUCGAUAGUGAAAGAUGGCUUUGCUAUCACUUAUAGAUGGACCUGCGCCGUAUUAGCUAGUUGGUAAGGUAACGGCUUACCAAGGCAACGAUACGUAGCCGACCUGAGAGGGUGAUCGGCCACACUGGAACUGAGACACGGUCCAGACUCCUACGGGAGGCAGCAGUAGGGAAUCUUCCGCAAAGGGCGAAAGCCUGACGGAGCAACGCCGCGUGAGUGAUGGAGGUCUUCGGAUCGUAAAACUCUGUUAUUAGGGAAGAACAAACGUGUAAGUAACUGUGCACGUCUUGACGGUACCUAAUCAGAAAGCCACGGCUAACUACGUG
rnacentral:rRNA from 1 species